UACUGACUCCAGAAAGUACAGCAACCUUGGACUGCUCAGCGCCAUUGGUACGGUCUUCCGUGGUGCACUUGGCCUUAUUUAUUUUUUACGACAUUUGACAGAGGACAGAGAGAGAGCAAGCAUUAAAACGGCAGAAGCUACUGGAAACGUCGUGAACAAUCUACAGUCAUACCACCGUGAACGCUCCCAAUCUUGUCUGGUCUCUGAAGUACAGAGUAGAUGCGAUUGGGUCCAGGUUCGGGCCUGUUUCAUUGUUGGAUAGAAGGAACUUCCUGAAUGCUAUUGUUCAGCUUAAGCUGCGUAUUGUUGAAGCACUCAAUGGCCCAGCCAUUCGACUAGGAGCAUCCGUAUUGCCUCUUUGUGAUAUGGUUUAGGCUAAUGAAAAGACUUGGUUUCCAACACCCUCUUCUACCUCUGGGCAGAUUCCAGAUAGCUGAUCUACCAUUACGUUUCCGAAAUCAUGGGACGACCAGCUGCAAGUGAGACGAUGCUCAGUGGGUUGAAACUGAUCACUCAGGAGGCAUUUGGCAACGGCCUUCUCUCCCAGCUGUUUGGAUCCUGGACCUUCACUCAGGAAAUUGGUGGCUCAGAUCAAGAAGCUUGUCUCAUGUAAUCGAAUAUUGCUGGAGGAAUCCAAAGCCUUGGUGUGCUGCAACAUGAAGAGGGAUCUGGAACAGGCCAACGAGAGAACAUGUGAAGUACUGAAGAAAAUCUGGGGUUCUGCCCGAGGGUUGGACUCCAUGUGAAAGGACUUAGAAAGGAAGAUGAACGAGUUUCG
rnacentral:lncRNA from 1 species